rnacentral:rRNA from 1 species
GAUGAACGCUAGCUAUAGGCUUAACACAUGCAAGUCGAGGGCAGCAUGAAUUUACUUCGGUAAAUUUGAUGGCGACCGGCGCACGGGUGCGUAACGCGUAUCCAACCUUCCCGUUACUCCGGGAUAGCCUUCCGAAAGGGAGAUUAAUACCGGAUGGUGUUCAAGUGGUGCAUAUUAUUUGAACUAAAGAUUUAUCGGUAACGGAUGGGGAUGCGUACCAUUAGAUAGUAGGCGGGGUAACGGCCCACCUAGUCCACGAUGGUUAGGGGUUCUGAGAGGAAGGUCCCCCACACUGGAACUGAGACACGGUCCAGACUCCUACGGGAGGCAGCAGUGAGGAAUAUUGGUCAAUGGCCGAGAGGCUGAACCAGCCAAGUAGCGUGAAGGAUGAAGGUUCUAUGGAUUGUAAACUUCUUUUAUACGGGAAUAACACCAUCUACGUGUAGAUGCCUGCAUGUACCGUAUGAAUAAGCAUCGGCUAACUCCGUG